CAAAUGGCAGCCCUGCGGCAGACUUACUACUUGCUGGUUCGUGAAAGUGAAAAGGGCUGGACUUGCUUUUAAGCAAUCGCAUUAUAUGGCAAUAUAUGUCCGUGCAGUGACUUCGUGCAUCGAAUAUUAGUCUGCACUUUUAUAGUUAUGAUAAGCUAAGUCCCACGUGAACAUGGCAAUGUAUGGAGACAAUGUUCGUUCUCCGCUGGAGCAGGUCUGGAGGCAGUUUGUUCCCCAAGGCUAUGACCAGGCAUUGCGGAAUGCCUUCUACAAUGUCGCUGCUGUUGUGUUUGUGGUCUGUGUCGGGGCAGCUGCUUGGUCUGUUUAUAUGAUAUUUCAGCCUUUUGUGAAGCCAUUGCUGUGGGCAGUAUUAUGCGGGUCAUUGCUUCAUCCAGCCAAGCACAUUGUGACCUCGUGGACAAGGGGAUGGUUGUUAGAAGUCCACUCAGCUGGCAGUCUCCUCUCAAUGUCCAUAGCCCUCCUUCCACUUAGGCUGCUCGAUACUAUCUCAGAGAUUGUGGGCAGGUUUGUAGUGCAGCAUGUACGGAGCGUCAUAACUGUAACUGUCAUAUUACCAGUUGUAUAUAUCAUCAUUCAUCACACGCCUAUCUUCUUGUCGAGCUUAGCAUAUACAGUAAUUUCCACGAUCUUCUACAUCAUAUCGACCGUUGUUUCCAUAGCAUCUUCGAAUGGCUACAUAGUGCUAACGUUAGUGCUUGGAUAUGUGAUAGCAGUUGUGUUCUUCUGGUCUGGUAACACAUCUCGUACUUUAAGCAAAAUGAGCCUUGCUGUGUGGGUUAUUGCUGCUGCUGGAAUUUCAGGGUUAUGGCCAGCUGGUAGUGUGCCUAUUUUCAUCAUCAUGUGCUUGCUUCUUGUAGCUGGACUGUUCACAGAAAUUUUAGACUUCCAUGCUCUCCAAAAAGCUUCAAGAGGAGACGAGGUCACCUUCUUAGAAUCAGCUGUCUUGGUCUGCCUGGGCAACUCUACAGACAUUGAAGACAUCGGUUCUUAUUGCAAGCAGGAAGACGAGUUGUCUGAAAAGAGUACAACUCUCUCGCCUGUCAGAGAAGAAGACAGCAUUGAGGAGUUGAACCACCAGAACUCUGAACCUCUCUCUACUAUUCCAGAGGUGUCUAAUGCCUCAAGCUCUCCAGAAAAUAGUGAAGACAAACCAUUUGUCAAGGUUACAAGUGAAGAUGAAGGCAAAACUGGAAGCCAGAGUUCAGAUAUGGGCGAUGAGACCAAGCCAAAGGCAACGCCCAGUGAACCCUUCUGCACCCCAGCAUCAAACACUCCUCGGCCCCAAGUUUUGCUGAGUGCAUCGGCGACACCUCGAACGAUGUCCUCUCAUCCGUGCCACAACUCCAGUUCUUCGUGCUCCAAUGCCGAUGACAGUAGCAGCAACAUGUACCUGAAGGGCGUGUUUGUUGCGUGUGUUCUUGUUGAACUUUGGCAGCACAAUUACCUUUUGCCUUUGCUCCCACUCGCAAUGCUGUAUUACCUCAUAAAAAAAUUAGCGUCAAGAUAUCUUUCUUGGGGCGUGAAAAGUGGAAGUGCAGUGUCGAGUGUAGCCAGCUCAGCGUGUGAUAGUCUCGUAGCUUGGGCUGACAUGCGCCGUUCUGCUCUUCUCCCACCUCCAAUCAAAGGUGUAGUUAAGUUAUUUGUAAGAAGUGAUCACCAUUUAGUCUUAGUGUUUUCAUCCGCGGUUGAUGCCAUCGUGACGCUUUUGCUCAUUCUUGCUGUGAUCGUCUUUGCCGUGACUGCAUCCAUCUUCCUAGCUGUACAGAUUCAAGGAGAGAGUAUGGCUUUAGUAACCAUCGGGAGUCAGGUCAUCAAUUCCACAGUGGUCAACAAUCCACAGUUUCUGGAGCUGUUGCCAGAAGGUUUGGGUGAUGUGGUUAGCUCUGCCCUCGAUGAAGGCUACCUUUACGGUCGUGAAUGGAUUGCGAGUUUGCUCGUUGAGGUGGAGGGCUCUUCACGCCUUACUAUCAAUGCCACAAAGGUGGUGCGGGGAAUGCUAGGAGAGACAGACGAUGCUAAGGCUGUGCUUUUAGAAAAGCAGGUCGUAGAACUCUGGGAUCGCGUUUAUCAAGCGUGGGUAGCAGCCCAUCCAACACCGCCAGCCAAGGGUCCUGUAGUCACUUCAGAAGCCGUAGCCAUCACGUUUGAUUCCAUCGUUGAGGGUCUGCGAAAAACUCCAGUUCCGGGAGAGAUUUCUAUGCCAGGCGUAGUGAGUUUUACGUUUGUCAGUGAGGUCGUGAGAGAUAACCUUGGCACCGUUGUGAGUGUGUUAGAAUCAGUAUGGUCCAUUUUACUGGGUAAUCUCAGUCUUGCUGUUUCGGCACUGACGGCGGCAACAUCCCUUUUGCUAGGUGGCUCUCUGUCGCUCCUUAACGCUCUCAUCAGUCUGGUUGUAUUCAUGUCAUCGUUAUUUUAUGUGCUGAGUGCAAGUGAUUCUGUUUAUAAACCAGUUGCAGUUCUCAUGAAUCUUGCUCCUGGGCAAAUGAAUCACUUAGGGAAAGCUGUGGAGGAUGCUGUCAAUGGUGUGUUCAUUGCAUCGCUGAAGAUGGGAGCUUUCUAUGGAAUGUGGACAUGGCUGCUUCAUUCCCUCUUUUCGACAAAUAUUGUUUAUAUUCCAGCAGUGCUGGGUGCUAUUUUUGGUGCUGUUCCACUCUUGGGUACUUACUGGGCAGCUCUUCCCGGUGCCCUUGAACUCUGCUGGAGCCAGGGAUCCCCCACAUUGGCACUUUUGUUGCUAGGUGCUCAACUUCUGCCAAUGUCUUGUGUUGACACUGCCAUAUAUGCUGAUAUCAAGGGGGGAAGUCAUCCGUACCUAACGGGCCUGGCAGUUGCUGGUGGCAUCUUCUACUGGGGUGCUGAGGGAGCCAUUUUGGGUCCCAUGCUACUUUGCAUUCUAAAAGUAGCCACCAAUAUUUACUCUGCUCUCAUACAGUCGCCCUCGGACUUCACACGACGUUUCGGCAAGUUUCGCAGUGGACACCUCAUAACCUCUACUGGGUUAAUCAAGUGAAGUCAGCAAUUUUGUACGCUACUUGCAGGUUCACUUUGGCGCUCGGACUCCCACCAUCACAUGAAUGCCAUAAUUGGAUACAGGUCUUACAGUGACAUAUGUGAUAGAUGAAAAUGGAAUCAACGACAGACUCUCCAGCAAACACAUGUGACUCAUUGUGACUUUCUUUUAUUAUUCAUGGAUGAAGUAUGCUCUUGUACGGUGUAGCAACCCAUUAAUUUUCCAGUGAGGGUCAGAAGCAUGUAUAAAUUCCAAACCGUGUCACCCAGCAAACAUUUUCGUAGUCAUUGUGCCAGGCAGAAAAUUUCGAAUACUGAGUAUACUUAAGAUCACCUUGGCUAUUGGCUCUUGAAAAACGAAAACAUUGAUUGCCGACAGUAAGAAAAUGUUGGUGAAACUUACCAAAGAUUUGUAGACAACAGAGGAGAUCAUCCGUUAACAGAUUAUGAAGAAAGAUCUGGAUAAAACCUUUUUAAUUUAUAUAUGUUUUACGACUUCAUUGUGCUGAACUGUUUAUCUCUUAAAUAAAGACAGGUCACCAGAAUUGAGGUAAAAGAAUAUCAACUUCAAUGAGGUUGCAUAGAAGGGAAGGUCUGAAGAUAUAUUAGGGAUGUCAUUGAGGUUCAGGAAAUUUUCUUUAUAUAAAUUAAAAACUAAUCAAGAUCACUAAACUAGGAAUACUCAGGAAAAUUUUGUCAAGCAGAGUUCAAGGAAAUGUCACGAAAGGCUUUAGAUAUUUUUAAAACCAUAGGACACCUUUAUCUCCUGAGUGGUGCUGGAAGGUGGUAUACAGCCUUCCAGUUUCCAGCUGGUGCGGGCACCCAUUCGUACUUAAGCUGAUUUGUUGGGGCUGGUGGGGAUGAACCACAAACCUUGCGAAUGGAAGCCUAACAAAAAAUAUUUUACCUAAAAUUCCGAAACUGAUCUAAACUAGACCAUUUUUUCAAAUAUAAUCUGAGAGGCCCCCUCAAAUAAUCAAGUAAAGGUUAAAAAUACCAGGUAAUGUGAAUAAAAAAGGAUUUUAAAUUUUUCUUGGAUCUUUUGCUUAAAUGGAGACGUUUUGCUACCUGAAAACACUCCAUGAAUAACUAUACAGUAUUGAAAUUGUGUGUUGUUCUCAUUAUGUACUUCCAGACUUCUUUAUUUUCAUUCAGCUUAAGUAUAGAAGUAGAUUUCAAGUGCCUUUGUUUUUUUAUUUUUAUUUUGAAAUGAGUUUUUUAUUUAAUUAUAGAAGCUGGUUUCCAUCAUAAUUCAGAAUUUACAGCUGUGCUUAACUCAUGGUGGUGGAAUUUGUAUUGGAAAAAAGGAUGUUUCGCUUCUGUUUUAUAUGCGUAAAUGGAUGUUCUACUUUUGAAACAGAACAAUAUUACCUUGCAACCACAGUGUGUAGUACACUGCUUAAAACACCCAGUUUUAAAAUGCAGUAGUAUGUCAGCUUAAGAGUGAAAAACUUGAUUAAUAUAGUAAUCUGUUAUGGUUGGGAUACAUUAGCCAGGUUACGUGCUACCUCUUAUUUUUUUUAUUUUUCCAACCUAGAAGCUUGCAUUAUGGUACACUUAUGGUUUGCAGGGACAUAUUUCAACUGAAAGAGAUUCUCAUUGUAUACAGUAUUGAAAUAAAAACCUGUGGGGUUUUUACUUAACCAAAAAAAUCCGUUAAAAUGUCCCAGAAGGUGUUGGGAAUCACAGUAGGACUAACUUAUGAAAUAUUGUCAGUAUUUGUCCAACUAAUAACUUUUCGGGUUUGAAUUCCACUCAUCAGUUAGCUGCACUUUCGUCCACGAAAUGCGUCUUAAAGAAAGAAUUUCCCAGUAUGAAUGUGUUUGUAAAGCUUCCCUAUGUGACUUCGUAUUAUAAAAGCAGUGUUUUUUACUUAUAAUGUAAGGGUUUCUUUGUACUGAAUAGUUAUAGAGCUUUUGCCUGUCCAUCCUCAUAACCACUGACAGCCUUGCAUUAAAACUGAUUUAGGAAUUGGAUUGCAGUUUGCAAUUGUAAUUGUGUGUCAGUAGGUGGCUUAACCCGUAGUUGGAAGAGUGAACAGACUAAAUAAGAGGGAAGGCCAGAACAGGAAGCAUCCAGUCUUUCUUUACAGUACUGAGGUACAAAUUUAGUUUACAGAAAAGUUGUAUUGUAUACAUUCAGUCCAACACAACUAAGUAAACAAAUGGUAGAUAAGGUGCGAAAGUCACUUAUUUUUUGUAGCAGUAUCAAGAAGUACAGUCAUUAACCCCUCAUCAGAUUUCACAUUCAUUUGGUAGCUUUGAUUAGGAAAUUUCCUUUAGCAUGUAUUUUCAGUGGGAAUUUACUUAACUCAGAGAAAGGUGCUGGCAAAUAUUGUACUACUAGUAAGUGGGUAGUUCAAGGAUUUCAUGACAUGUUUUCUUUUGUUAUCAGGAAAGCUUAUAUUUGAUAUUCUGUGUAGAAGAAGAAGAGUUUCAACAAAAUAUAAAUGACAAUAUUUUUCUUUUCAAGCUUUACCAUGUUAGGUUUGUUGUAGGUGACGGUAGCAGAGCUGUAUUUCUGAGUUUCUUUGUAAAUAAUUUAACUGCUAUAUUUAAAAACCUCUUUAUAAUUGAUAAGGUUUUUGUUUAGUCUUUCCAAUAACUGAUAUCUGUCAUUAAAAUCGUCAACUGGAUUCUAUUGUGUAAUAGGUUUUGUGCUUUUCAUAAUGAUAAAUAUUUUUAUAGGAAGCUGUUUUUUAUUGCAGUCUUACAGCAAUUUUUUUUUUUUUUUUUUUGGGGUGAACCAGUAACUUUAUUUUCGCUAUGUGGUUAAGGACUGGAUAAAGGAACUGUCUAGUUUUCCCACUGCCAUGUGACCAUGUGGGAGUAGCUGAGAGAGUGAUGUGUUAGUUUUGUAAUUGCUCUUAAUUAAUUUGGUUGAAUGUUUAGGAUGACCGAAUUUCAUUAAUUCCAUUUGUAGGCUUAAAAAGUUUUGUAUUUUUUAGUAGCCAUUUUUUAAAGUCACAGAUAGAUUUAAUUUUAUUUUAAAUGUACGCCAGUGUUAUAUAGGAUAUGAUAAUCGUUGAUGGCAACACUACAGUGAGGGAACAUUGAGUGUCUACAGUAAAAGUUUGCUUCAGCUUGAAAACAAAACUGAAAUGUUUGAGUCUGUAGUUUGUAGUGUUAAGAAGUUAGCCUUUUUUUUUUAAUUUGAAUUUUUAUUGGAUUAAUAAUUUAGUCAACAGUAGUUCAAGAGGAACUAUUGGCUCCCUGUCUUUUAUUCCUAAUUCCAGGAAAGGCAGCCUGGUUAUAUAAAAAGGAACGCUUUAUAUAACAAGAUCUUUAGCGUUACAUAUUGCUCGUAGAGAGGGUUUUGAUGUAGAAGAAGGAUGACUUGAUAUAAAAGUUUGUUAAGUUAUUAAGGAGAAAUUUGAAAGGUGAUUUAGGUACUUUUAACCGUUUGUUAGAAUGCUUCACUGUUAUGUGUUACUAAGGAAGUUGAUUCACUCUAAGAGAUGGUUUAAUUGUUGUAAAGGGUUACUUACUGUUAUGAAGAGAGUGCAUUAUUUUUAUAGAGAGUGAGAUUGUUGGAUUAUUGAAUAGAAAGCUUGUUUAUGAAAUGUAUCAACAGCUGUAAUAACUAACUAAUUAACUUUGUGUAGUUGACUCUAGUAUUGAGGCAUUGUUUUGAAAAGCUUGGGAUCUUACGGAUAGUAGGUUUACCAGGUUGAACUUUAUUAUUUUACCUAUGCAAGAAAGAUGAGUUUAGUUUUAUCCAGGAAAGGACUGCCCCCAGUCAUACAAAGAAAAUAUUAACAUAAGCCUUUACCAAGGGUAAAUGUAAGUGUAGCCUUAAUAAGGGGAUUAUUUAUUUUUAUUUUUUUUUUUUUUUUUUUUUUUUUUUGCGCCUAACGUUAAGAUUAAUUUAUCAUGGGCCAAGUUCCUAUCUUAGGUAAAGGUAGGAUUACCAAGUUGAUGUUGAGCACAUUAUUGACAGGGUAGGACUUUAAUAAUCAGAGAAAGGAAUGGGUUUGGUUGAUAGAGUGUGGAGGUUUAUACAAGGUUUUGCCAGGAUAAGGGCAGCUUAACCUAAGCAACCAACCAGAUUCUCAUUGAAUUCAUUCAGGCUAUGGGGUUAAUCUCAAGACUACCCAAAAUUUUAAAAUUUAACCUUAGUAAAAACUGUAGCUCAGUUCUACCAUGAUCAAUACUACAUUUUCUUUUUUUUAUUAAUGUUGAAUUCACUAAAAUAAAUUCUCAUGGGCUUUCUAUUUUGUAAACAGAUAUAUAUGUUGCAGAAGGGAAGGAAUGAGCUGCAUAUUUAUUGAGUGGAAAAACUAUGCCUUUACUAUGAAUUUGACAGUGGAUUAAUAUAUUAGUGUUUCAAGUUCACUCUCGACGUGGUUCGGAAGUCACGUAAAGCCGUUGGUCCUGUUGCUGAAUAACCACUGGUUCCAUGCAACAUAUAAACACCAUACAAACAAACAAAGAAAACAGUUGUAUGUGGUUUGAAGAUCUGUUUAUUAUUUUUUUAAGGGAACUUUUGUGACACGCGUUGCCUCUUGAUGGUACAGUAUUAUGUUCAGUGACGUUUGUUGACAAGAAUUACUUGUGUUCUGUACAGUUUCACCAAGAAAUAUCAUCCAUUUUUUGGCAGUGUCAAGUGCGCAUUCUGUCAAAUUAUUUGAGGUCACUGCAUUGAUAGUGAUUGUUUCACUGCCUUCUCGUUUCAGCCACGUAUCAAGUAUGUCUCUCACCAUAUCCUGAAUGGUUAGACAGACUUGAUACUUUGUUGAAACGAGAGAGGCAAUAUAAAAAUUACUGUUAACGCAGCUACCUCAAUUAAUUGAUAAAAUGAACGUUCGAUGCUGCCAAAACAUAAACGAUAUGUAAUCAAAUUUUCUUUAUCCUGUGAAAUUAUGGCCGAGACUAAAAACUUCUCUUUUGGGUUAAUCGAUUUUACUUCGUGACUGAAUAUACUGUAAAGCUUUUCAGGCAACGGCUCCUGUGUUCUUAAGGUAAAUGUCAGCGUGUUUGGUGGCAAUGCAACUUAGCUAUGGCUCAGUCCAAGCUCUAUUGCUGUGUAGAUCUUUCUCUGAUAUUAUAUACCCCCAAAAUGAGCUUUAAAAGUAGAAUAGGUCUGUUUGAUAUUAUGGGCUGUGCAACUUAUAUGUGAUUCUUUCGAUAGCUUUUUAGGCCUAAAUGAUAAAAUGUUUGUUCACAAGAGAGAGAGAAAGCAACAGGUAAUCAUUCUUUAUUAAUAAUGUGAAUAAUAUUAAAACUGCUUUGAUUUAAUGUAAGAGUUGAAAAUGCUUUUGAUUUGACUGACAACGAUAAUAGCUUAGGUUUUUAACCCCAUCUCAUAUUCUGAUUUUUAUAGUUUAGCAUUUUUUGUUAACCACAUAUUAGUAAAUUAAGGUAAACUUAUUUUGUUAUGAAUGUUAUUUAUGAAAGUUUUAACAUUGUUAGUAUUAUUAACAGCCCAAGUGGUUUCUUGGGAUUCACACGAAUGACAAAAUUUUUUGUAAGAUAAAUGCACUUUUUUUUGGUGAAAUAAACUUGUAUGCACUUUU